GAUGAACGCUAGCGGCAGGCUUAAUACAUGCAAGUCGUGGGGUAGCGCAGUGUAGCAAUACAUGGGCGACGACCGGCAAACGGGUGCGUAACACGUACGCAAUCUACCCACUACAGGGGAAUAGCCCAGGGAAACUUGGAUUAAUACCCCAUAUUAUAUAGGGUUGGCAUCAACUUUAUAUCAAAGCUUCGGCGGUAGUGGAUGAGCGUGCGGUUGAUUAGAUAGUUGGCGGGGUAACGGCCCACCAAGUCUAUGAUCAAUAGCUGAUGUGAGAGCAUGAUCAGCCACACGGGCACUGAGACACGGGCCCGACUCCUACGGGAGGCAGCAGUAAGGAAUAUUGGGCAAUGGACGCAAGUCUAACCCAGCCAUGCCGCGUGAAGGAUGAAGGUCCUCUGGAUUGUAAACUUCUUUUAUCUGGGGCGAAAACAACUCUUUCUAGAGUUCUUGACAGUACCAGAGGAAUAAGCACCGGCUAACUCCGUGCCAGCCGCCGCAGUAAGAC
rnacentral:rRNA from 1 species